AACAAACGGUGUGGCGAUUUGUUACCGGAUUGCGGGCCACGUUAAAUAAUCUGCUAAAAGGGGUCGGUCGCGUUUUCG
rnacentral:ncRNA from 2 species